rnacentral:rRNA from 1 species
GGUUAUAGCCAUAUCACCCUGAAUGGGCCUGAUCUUGUCUGAUGGCGAAAGCUAAGCAGGGUCAGGCCUGGUUAGUGUGUGGGUGGGAGACUGCCUGGGAAUGCUGGGUGCUGUAGGCU